GCCUCAAUAUCCUAAAAACACCAGGUCCUGUCUGAUCUUGGAAGCAAAGCAGGAUCACUCCUGGUUAGUACUUUAAUGGGAGACUUCCUAUGAAUGUCAGGAGAUGAAGGCU
rnacentral:rRNA from 1 species